AUCAAAAACAUCGCCUUUUGAGAAAAUAGAAGGUCUAACCUGCCCACUGAAUAGUUAAAGGGCCGCGGUAUUUUGACCGUGCAAAGGUAGCAUAAUCAUUAGUCUUCUAAUUAAAGGCUGGAAUGAAUGGUUGGACGAGGUAUUAGCUGUCUCAUUGGAGGGAUUCUGAAUUUAGCUUUUUAGUUAAAAGGCUAAAAUGAAAUUGGAGGACGAGAAGACCCUAUAGAGCUUUACAAUAAAAUUUUUUAUCUUAUUUGGUAGGAUCUUAGAUUUAGAAGGUAAUUGUUUUGUUGGGGUGAUGGGGAGAUAAAAGUAACUCUUCUAUUUAAGCACAUUGAUGUAUGAUUAAUUGAUCCAUAAUUUAUGAUUAAAAGAUUAAGUUACCUUAGGGAUAACAGCGUAAUCUUUUUUGAGAGUUCUAAUCGACGAAAAGGGUUGCGACCUCGAUGUUGGACUAAGGGUUAUUUUUGGGUGUAGCAGCUUGAAGUUUAGGUCUGUUCGACCUUUGAAUCCUUACAUG
rnacentral:rRNA from 1 species